rnacentral:rRNA from 1 species
GACGAACGCUGGCGGCGUGCUUAACACAUGCAAGUCGAACGGAAAGGCCCUGCUUUUGUGGGGUGCUCGAGUGGCGAACGGGUGAGUAACACGUGAGUAACCUGCCCUUUACUUUGUGAUAACUUCAGGAAACUGGGGCUAAUACCGGAUAGGAGCUCCUGCUGCAUGGUGGGGGUUGGAAAGUUUCGGCGGUUGGGGAUGGACUCGCGGCUUAUCAGCUUGUUGGUGGGGUAGUGGCUUACCAAGGCUUUGACGGGUAGCCGGCCUGAGAGGGUGACCGGCCACAUUGGGACUGAGAUACGGCCCAGACUCCUACGGGAGGCAGCAGUGGGGAAUAUUGCACAAUGGGCGGAAGCCUGAUGCAGCAACGCCGCGUGCGGGAUGACGGCCUUCGGGUUGUAAACCGCUUUCGCCUGUGACGAAGCGUGAGUGACGGUAAUGGGUAAAGAAGCACCGGCUAACUACGUG